rnacentral:rRNA from 1 species
ACGAACGCUGGCGGCGUGCUUCACCCAUGCAAGUCGAACGGUGAAGCGCCUUCCUUUUUGGUGGGUGUGGAUGAGUGGCGAACGGGUGAGUAACACGUGAGUAACCUGCCCCCUUCUUCUGGAUAACCGCAUGAAAGUGUGGCUAAUACGGGAUAUUCUGGGUCUGUCGCAUGAUGGGUCUGGGAAAGAUAUUGUUUCGGUGGGGGAUGGGCUCGCGGCCUAUCAGCUUGUUGGUGGGGUGAUGGCCUACCAAGGCGGUGACGGGUAGCCGGCCUGAGAGGGUGGACGGUCACACUGGGACUGAGACACGGCCCAGACUCCUACGGGAGGCAGCAGUGGGGAAUAUUGCACAAUGGGCGCAAGCCUGAUGCAGCGACGCCGCGUGAGGGAUGGAGGCCUUCGGGUUGUGAACCUCUUUCGCCAGUGAAGCAGGCCUGCCUCGUUUGUGGGUGGGUUGACGGUAGCUGGAGAAGAAGCGCCGGCUAACUACGUG